CGGGCAACUUUCCUGUCGCAAAACCCGCAGGAUUAUCCCAAUCGCCAUGACAACUAUCUGAUUGCCCGAAACGGCGAGAAGCGGCUCUAUCGCUGGUCGAAUGUCGCGAUCCUCGACAAGUUCGGCCGCAUCUCCCUGGUGAUCGGCCUCGGCGAAGACAUCACGGCAGCCGCACAAGCCCGGCAGCUGGAAGAACGCAG
rnacentral:misc_RNA from 1 species